AUACAUUUCUCAGUCUUUUGGCUAAAAUCAAGUGUAAUAUUUGUUCUUAUCAAUUUAAUAUCUAAUAUAAAAAAUUAAAUUAAUUUUUUAUGGGGAAGAAUUUGUUAUAGUAGCUUACACACCCUUACCAAGUCAAAUUUAUAAGCUUGGGGCACAUUUGGACUUUGGGACAUUGCAAAACCCAUCGGGCUUGGUUUGAGACCAA